rnacentral:misc_RNA from 1 species
AGCGAGCUGGGUGCGGGCGA